CUACCACGGCUCCCUUCUUUGACGCCGGGUGGUGAUGCCUCUGUUGGGUAUCGGUGUUACGCAGCUGGCAAAGCACACGAGACGCUCGAGGGCAGAAGCGAAUGUGAACACACAAAAAAUGCCCCCCCCCCCCCCCCCCCCAAAGGAUCUCUUUCCCCAUCAACUUUCCCAAGUGUACACGCCUCUCUCCCGCAAUACACGUCCGCGUGCUGAAGCAGGCGCCCUUUCUAUUUUUCGAUGUCACUGUUGCAACGAGCAAUGACGCAUAAACAUAUACAGAGUGCCUGCUGAGGGAGUACACAGCUAGACCGAUACACGCGCACACACACACACACACACACACACACACAUCCACUAAAUUUCUCUAUCGAACAGGUCACGCAAAGGCAUUUGUGAGCGCUGACCGUUUUUCUUCCUAUUCUUGCCGUUCUUCUCAUCGCUCCCACCUGCACGACGAUCACCUCCACCGUCUCCCUCACCUUUUCGUUGCCUGAUUGCCUUUCAUUUAUGCGAUUGUUCGCGAACUCGAUUCUCUGCUUUGUUUUAUGCUUCCUUGUUCUGCGUCGCCUCUCCCUCUGUAUUUCUUGGGGCUCCUCGUUGAGUGCGUGCCGCUUGCCCUCCUCAUCUUGCUCGCGUGUGCUUUCGCUCUUUUACGCUUUCCCUUUUUCGGCUUGGCUUGCCGCCGUCUUGACCCCGCCACCCUCUCUGCGUGUCUGUGGAUGUGUUUAGGUCUUCGUUUUUAUGGUUGUGCACUGCUCGUGCUGCCGUUCUUGUCGAGUGUUUCAUGCACGCUGCGUGGGCGAUGGAUGUCUCCCAGUUCUCCCUCUCUCACGCUUGUCGACGAACUUUUUUUUUGGGAUGUGCCUGUGUUCUUUCCUCUCCGUGCUCGUCGUUCACUGUCGGCUUCGAAGGCUCAUGCGCGCGUACGCAUAAUCACGCACGCACACAUGCACAUACACCGUUGUAUUGGCCGUUACGGGCUAGAGAGGGAGGGAGGGGGAAGCGUACCCAUAGCCCCGACUCACGAAAGACUUCGGCAGACGGCUGACGUCUGCGCUUUUUGUGACACGGUGCCGAUUUUCAACCGCUUUGGUUUUUCUCUCUUAGGAACAUAUCUGUCGAAGGCUGCCAUGUGCCUUUUUGCUGUGUGUGCCUGUACAUGAGGUCCCGGACAAUGCCCCUUUUCCGGAGAUGUACCAAGUAGUGUAGUCGCAGUUGGGCCGUUCUUUCUUUCCACGAUACCCUCCCUCAUCUUUCCUCAUCCAUGCAUGUGUCUCUUGUAGUUCCACCACUUUACUUG
rnacentral:misc_RNA from 1 species